rnacentral:rRNA from 1 species
UUAAGCGACUAAGCGUACACGGUGGAUGCCCUGGCAGUCAGAGGCGAUGAAGGACGUGCUAAUCUGCGAUAAGCGUCGGUGAGGUGAUAUGAACCGUUAUAACCGGCGAUUUCCGAAUGGGGAAACCCAGUGUGUUUCGACACACUAUCAUUAACUGAAUCCAUAGGUUAAUGAGGCGAACCGGGGGAACUGAAACAUCUAAGUACCCCGAGGAAAAGAAAUCAACCGAGAUUCCCCCAGUAGCGGCGAGCGAACGGGGAGGAGCCCAGAGCCUGAAUCAGUGUGUGUGUUAGUGGAAGCGUCUGGAAAGGCGCGCGAUACAGGGUGACAGCCCCGUACACAAAAAUGCACAUGCUGUGAGCUCGAUGAGUAGGGCGGGACACGUGGUAUCCUGUCUGAAUAUGGGGGGACCAUCCUCCAAGGCUAAAUACUCCUGACUGACCGAUAGUGAACCAGUACCGUGAGGGAAAGGCGAAAAGAACCCCGGCGAGGGGAGUGAAAAAGAACCUGAAACCGUGUACGUACAAGCAGUGGGAGCCUCUUAAUGGGGUGACUGCGUACCUUUUGUAUAAUGGGUCAGCGACUUAUAUUCUGUAGCAAGGUUAACCGAAUAGGGGAGCCGAAGGGAAACCGAGUCUUAACUGGGCGUUAAGUUGCAGGGUAUAGACCCGAAACCCGGUGAUCUAGCCAUGGGCAGGUUGAAGGUUGGGUAACACUAACUGGAGGACCGAACCGACUAAUGUUGAAAAAUUAGCGGAUGACUUGUGGCUGGGGGUGAAAGGCCAAUCAAACCGGGAGAUAGCUGGUUCUCCCCGAAAGCUAUUUAGGUAGCGCCUCGUGAAUUCAUCUCCGGGGGUAGAGCACUGUUUCGGCAAGGGGGUCAUCCCGACUUACCAACCCGAUGCAAACUGCGAAUACCGGAGAAUGUUAUCACGGGAGACACACGGCGGGUGCUAACGUCCGUCGUGAAGAGGGAAACAACCCAGACCGCCAGCUAAGGUCCCAAAGUCAUGGUUAAGUGGGAAACGAUGUGGGAAGGCCCAGACAGCCAGGAUGUUGGCUUAGAAGCAGCCAUCAUUUAAAGAAAGCGUAAUAGCUCACUGGUCGAGUCGGCCUGCGCGGAAGAUGUAACGGGGCUAAACCAUGCACCGAAGCUGCGGCAGCGACACUAUGUGUUGUUGGGUAGGGGAGCGUUCUGUAAGCCUGUGAAGGUGGCCUGUGAGGGUUGCUGGAGGUAUCAGAAGUGCGAAUGCUGACAUAAGUAACGAUAAAGCGGGUGAAAAGCCCGCUCGCCGGAAGACCAAGGGUUCCUGUCCAACGUUAAUCGGGGCAGGGUGAGUCGACCCCUAAGGCGAGGCCGAAAGGCGUAGUCGAUGGGAAACAGGUUAAUAUUCCUGUACUUGGUGUUACUGCGAAGGGGGGACGGAGAAGGCUAUGUUGGCCGGGCGACGGUUGUCCCGGUUUAAGCGUGUAGGCUGGUUUUCCAGGCAAAUCCGGAAAACCAAGGCUGAGGCGUGAUGACGAGGCACUACGGUGCUGAAGUGACAAAUGCCCUGCUUCCAGGAAAAGCCUCUAAGCAUCAGGUAACAUCAAAUCGUACCCCAAACCGACACAGGUGGUCAGGUAGAGAAUACCAAGGCGCUUGAGAGAACUCGGGUGAAGGAACUAGGCAAAAUGGUGCCGUAACUUCGGGAGAAGGCACGCUGAUAUGUAGGUGAAGCGACUUGCUCGUGGAGCUGAAAUCAGUCGAAGAUACCAGCUGGCUGCAACUGUUUAUUAAAAACACAGCACUGUGCAAACACGAAAGUGGACGUAUACGGUGUGACGCCUGCCCGGUGCCGGAAGGUUAAUUGAUGGGGUUAGCGGUAACGCGAAGCUCUUGAUCGAAGCCCCGGUAAACGGCGGCCGUAACUAUAACGGUCCUAAGGUAGCGAAAUUCCUUGUCGGGUAAGUUCCGACCUGCACGAAUGGCGUAAUGAUGGCCAGGCUGUCUCCACCCGAGACUCAGUGAAAUUGAACUCGCUGUGAAGAUGCAGUGUACCCGCGGCAAGACGGAAAGACCCCGUGAACCUUUACUAUAGCUUGACACUGAACAUUGAGCCUUGAUGUGUAGGAUAGGUGGGAGGCUUUGAAGUGUGGACGCCAGUCUGCAUGGAGCCGACCUUGAAAUACCACCCUUUAAUGUUUGAUGUUCUAACGUUGGCCCCUAAUCGGGGUUGCGGACAGUGUCUGGUGGGUAGUUUGACUGGGGCGGUCUCCUCCUAAAGAGUAACGGAGGAGCACGAAGGUUGGCUAAUCCUGGUCGGACAUCAGGAGGUUAGUGCAAUGGCAUAAGCCAGCUUGACUGCGAGCGUGACGGCGCGAGCAGGUGCGAAAGCAGGUCAUAGUGAUCCGGUGGUUCUGAAUGGAAGGGCCAUCGCUCAACGGAUAAAAGGUACUCCGGGGAUAACAGGCUGAUACCGCCCAAGAGUUCAUAUCGACGGCGGUGUUUGGCACCUCGAUGUCGGCUCAUCACAUCCUGGGGCUGAAGUAGGUCCCAAGGGUAUGGCUGUUCGCCAUUUAAAGUGGUACGCGAGCUGGGUUUAGAACGUCGUGAGACAGUUCGGUCCCUAUCUGCCGUGGGCGCUGGAGAACUGAGGGGGGCUGCUCCUAGUACGAGAGGACCGGAGUGGACGCAUCACUGGUGUUCGGGUUGUCAUGCCAAUGGCACUGCCCGGUAGCUAAAUGCGGAAGAGAUAAGUGCUGAAAGCAUCUAAGCACGAAACUUGCCCCGAGAUGAGUUCUCCCUGAGACUUAGAGUCUCCUGAAGGAACGUUGAAGACGACGACGUUGAUAGGCCGGGUGUGUAAGCGCAGCGAUGCGUUGAGCUAACCGGUACUAAUGAACCGUGAGGCUUAACCU